rnacentral:rRNA from 1 species
GGGCGGUGUGUACAAGGGGCAGGGACGUAAUCGACGCAAGCUGAUGACUUGCGCUUACUAGGAAUUCCUCGUUGAAGAGCAAUAAUUACAAUGCUCUAUCCCCAGCACGACGGAGUUUCACAAGAUUUCCCAGACCUCUCGGCCAAGGUUAAUACUCGUUGGCUCCGUCAGUGUAGCGCGCGUGCGGCCCAGAACGUCUAAGGGCAUCACAGACCUGUUAUUGCCUCAAACUUCCAUCGACUUGAAAUCGAUAGUCCCUCUAAGAAGUGACUAUACCAGCAAAAGCUAGCAGCACUAUUUAGUAGGUUAAGGUCUCGUUCGUUAUCGCAAUUAAGCAGACAAAUCACUCCACCAACUAAGAACGGCCAUGCACCACCACCCACAAAAUCAAGAAAGAGCUCUCAAUCUGUCAAUCCUUAUUGUGUCUGGACCUGGUGAGUUUCCCCGUGUUGAGUCAAAUUAAGCCGCAGGCUCCACUCCUGGUGGUGCCCUUCCGUCAAUUCCUUUAAGUUUCAGCCUUGCGACCAUACUCCCCCCAGAACCCGAAGACUUUGAUUUCUCGUAAGGUGCCGAGUGCGUCAAAAAAAGAACAACACCCGAUCCCUAGUCGGCAUAGUUUAUGGUUAAGACUACGACGGUAUCUGAUCAUCUUCGAUCCCCUAACUUUCGUUCUUGAUUAAUGAAAACGUCCUUGGCAAAUGCUUUCGCAGUAGUUAGUCUUCAGUAAAUCCAAGAAUUUCACCUCUGACAACUGAAUGCUGAUGCCCCCGACCGUCCCUAUUAAUCAUUACGAUGGUCCUAGAAACCAACAAAAUAGAACCAUAACGUCCUAUUCUAUUAUCCCAUGCUAAUAUAUUCGAGCAAAGGCCUGCUUUGAACACUCUAAUUUUUUCAAAGUAAAAGUCCUGGUUCGCCAAACACCACAAGGGCGAAAGGUUAGCCAGAAGGAAAGGCUCGGUUGGGUCCAGUACUCGCCAAAAAGG